AUUGAACGCUGGCGGCAUGCCUUACACAUGCAAGUCGAACGGCAGCACGGGAGCAAUCCUGGUGGCGAGUGGCGAACGGGUGAGUAAAGUAUCGGAACGUGCCCAGUCGUGGGGGAUAACGUAGCGAAAGUUACGCUAAUACCGCAUACGAUCUAUGGAUGAAAGCGGGGGAUCGCAAGACCUCGCGCGAUUGGAGCGGCCGAUAUCAGAUUAGGUAGUUGGUGGGGUAAAGGCUCACCAAGCCGACGAUCUGUAGCUGGUCUGAGAGGACGACCAGCCACACUGGGACUGGGACACGGCCCAGACUCCUACGGGAGGCAGCAGUGGGGAAUUUUGGACAAUGGGCGCAAGCCUGAUCCAGCCAUGCCGCGUGCAGGAUGAAGGCCUUCGGGUUGUAAACUGCUUUUGUACGGAACGAAAAGGUUUGACUUAAUACGUUGGACUCAUGACGGUAUCGUAAGAAUAAGCACCGGCUAACUACGUGCCAGCAGCCGCCGCCG
rnacentral:rRNA from 1 species